rnacentral:rRNA from 1 species
AGGUAAGCUACUAAGAGCGAAUGGUGGAUGCCUUGACUGGUAAAGGCGAUGAAGGACGUACUAGACUGCGAUAAGCUACGGGGAGCUGUCAAGAAGCUUUGAUCCGUAGAUUUCCGAAUGGGGCAACCCAAUGUAUAGAGAUAUACAUUACCUAUAUAGGAGCGAACGAGGGGAAUUGAAACAUCUUAGUACCCUCAGGAAAAGAAAUCAAUAGAGAUUGCGUCAGUAGCGGCGAGCGAAAGUGCAAGAGGGCAAACCCAGUGCUUGCACUGGGGGUUGUAGGACUGCAAUGUGCAAGAGCUGAGUUUAGCAGAACAUUCUGGAAAGUAUAGCCAUAGAGGGUGAUAGUCCCGUAUGCGAAAAACAAAGCUUAGCUAGCAGUAUCCUGAGUAGGGCGGGACACGAGGAAUCCUGUCUGAAUCCGGGUCGACCACGAUCCAACCCUAAAUACUAAUACCAGAUCGAUAGUGCACAAGUACCGUGAGGGAAAGGUGAAAAGAACUGAGGUGAUCAGAGUGAAAUAGAACCUGAAACCAUUUGCUUACAAUCAUUCAGAGCACUAUGUAGCAAUACAGUGUGAUGGACUGCCUUUUGCAUAAUGAGCCUGCGAGUUGUGGUGUCUGGCAAGGUUAAGCAAACGCGAAGCCGUAGCGAAAGCGAGUCUGAAUAGGGCGCUUAGUCAGAUGCUGCAGACCCGAAACGAAGUGAUCUAUCCAUGAGCAAGUUGAAGCUAGUGUAAGAACUAGUGGAGGACUGAACCCAUAGGCGUUGAAAAGCCCCGGGAUGACUUGUGGAUAGGGGUGAAAGGCCAAUCAAACUUCGUGAUAGCUGGUUCUCUCCGAAAUAUAUUUAGGUAUAGCGUUGUGUCGUAAUAUAAGGGGGUAGAGCACUGAAUGGGCUAGGGCAUACACCAAUGUACCAAACCCUAUCAAACUCCGAAUACCUUAUAUGUAAUCACAGCAGUCAGGCGGCGAGUGAUAAAAUCCGUCGUCAAGAGGGAAACAACCCAGACUACCAGCUAAGGUCCCUAAAUCUUACUUAAGUGGAAAACGAUGUGAAGUUACUUAAACAACCAGGAGGUUGGCUUAGAAGCAGCCAUCCUUUAAAGAAAGCGUAAUAGCUCACUGGUCUAGUGAUUUUGCGCGGAAAAUAUAACGGGGCUAAAGUAAGUACCGAAGCUGUAGACUUAGUUUACUAAGUGGUAGGAGAGCGUUCUAUUUGCGUCGAAGGUAUACCGGUAAGGAGUGCUGGAGCGAAUAGAAGUGAGCAUGCAGGCAUGAGUAGCGAUAAUUAAUGUGAGAAUCAUUAACGCCGUAAACCCAAGGUUUCCUACGCGAUGCUCGUCAUCGUAGGGUUAGUCGGGUCCUAAGUCGAGUCCGAAAGGGGUAGACGAUGG